rnacentral:rRNA from 1 species
AUACGAAGGGGGCUAGCGUUGUUCGGAAUCACUGGGCGUAAAGCGCACGUAGGUGGACUAAUUAGUUGAUGGUGAAAUCCCGGGGCUCAACCUCGGAACUGCCUUCAAUACUCUUAGUCUUGAGUCCGAGAGAGGUGAGUGGAAUUCCUAGUGUAGAGGUGAAAUUCGUAGAUAUUAGGAAGAACACCAGUGGCGAAGGCGGCUCACUGGCUCGGUACUGACGCUGAGGUGCGAAAGCGUGGGGAGCAAACAGGAUUAGAAACCCCAGUAGUCC